GAUGAACGCUGGCGGCGUGCCUAAUACAUGCAAGUCGAGCGAACAGAUAAGGAGCUUGCUCCUUUGACGUUAGCGGCGGACGGGUGAGUAACACGUGGGUAACCUACCUAUAAGACUGGGAUAACUUCGGGAAACCGGAGCUAAUACCGGAUAACAUUUGGAACCGCAUGGUUCUAAAGUGAAAGAUGGUUUUGCUAUCACUUAUAGAUGGACCCGCGCCGUAUUAGCUAGUUGGUAAGGUAACGGCUUACCAAGGCGACGAUACGUAGCCGACCUGAGAGGGUGAUCGGCCAAACUGGAACUGAGACACGGUCCAGACUCCUACGGGAGGCAGCAGUAGGGAAUCUUCCGCAAUGGGCGAAAGCCUGACGGAGCAACGCCGCGUGAGUGAUGAAGGGUUUCGGCUCGUAAAACUCUGUUAUUAGGGAAGAACAAAUGUGUAAGUAACUGUGCACGUCUUGACGGUACCUAAUCAGAAAGCCACGGCUAACUACGUG
rnacentral:rRNA from 1 species